rnacentral:tRNA from 1 species
GGAGAGAUGGCCGAGCGGUCUAAGGCGCACGCCUGGAGAGCGUGUGACGGGCACAACCCGUCCGUGGGUUCAAAUCCCACUCUCUCCGCCA